UAGGAAUAUAUAUUGGAAUCGAGGCUGAAAAGUUCUUCAGUCUCGACAAUACAUCUCUUGGAGCUCUAGCUCACGUCUCUGGUGUUAUUCUUGUAUUCAUCUGAUUAAUCUAGUUCUUGCCAGUUCUUCUUGAACUUCUUGUUAGAUCUCGAGUCUGUAUUUCUGUGUCCGUGACAAAAGGAUCCUAGGACCAUGUAUGUAAAAGUCAAAGAGUAGAAGUUGUCUUUUAGGGCAGCAACCACUACCUAUAAGUAAUGGGUAUUGGAAGUGAGAGAUAUAUUAUUC
rnacentral:lncRNA from 1 species